CUGAGGAAAAAAAGUGAUUUGCCCAAACUCAUAGUAAGUGGUAGAGAUGGGAUGUGAAACCAGCCAGGCUGUGCUUUUGACCAUAUCAGUGGAGAUGUAUUCAACAGACAUUUAUGAUACCUACUCUGCGCCUGACAAGACCCAGCCUCUUCCUGAGAAGCUCCUACUCUGGCCUCUAGGAGGAGCUUAGAAAAUGUCUCGUAACAAAGAAAGCUUCUGUCUCCACCUCCCUGCCCUCACACCCUGGGAAAACCAUAUCAUUGCUUUUCAGAUUUGAUAACUCAAGGAACUCCUGGAGUACACCUGAGGCCCAUGAGGAAUGCUGUUUGAAGGAAUGAAGUCAGUCUAUGAAAACAUCUCUCAAUGGAGAAUCAUCCCUGAAGAUAAGAAAUUGUGACUUGGUCGCUGGUGUUCUCUGCGUCAAGUGUCUAUCUCGGGGAAUGCUGGAGGGAUGACUCGUAGAGCCACCAGUUCUAGAGUCAGGAAAUUUAAGUUUUAUGCAUGGAGUCAUUAAAAACAAAAAGGGCAAGAGAAUCUGAAGUAGCUUGGAUGAUGAAGCUCCAACAAAGCAAUGAAUCUGAAAGGCAGCGAAGUAAAAACAAUUAUUCCCACUAAUGAGCAUGAGGGGAUGAAAGCCUGAAGAAACCAGAGCACCAGGAAACACUUGUGGCAUCAACUGGAGAAUGAGAAGAACAUCCAUGUAUUUCCUGAAUUCAUAAGCAUUUACAGGAGCCUCCUGCGUGCCUGUCUCUAAGCCAGACAGAACCUGUGCCCAUCCACAGAGGAUUGUCCUGGACACCAGGUGAGCUCAUGGAAGAAAAAGAAUGUAGACAACGAUAUUAUUCCCUUUCUAUCUAUAGUUUUUGUUUCUUGUUUCUAUAUGAACAGUCUUAUUGUGGAUAUGCCUGUUAUUACAAGGCAAAUCAAACCAUUUUUGGAAGGAGGCAAACAAACUAUAAAUAAUUAUUUACUUUACCAAAGGUGACUAACAUCUUUACUGUCUUGUGAUAAAACCUAUUGGACUGAUUAAAAACGGCAUGGCUCAGUGGCUGAGUGUCAAUCUAUAAACCAGGAGAUCACGUUCAAUUCCGGU